rnacentral:lncRNA from 14 species
GCUGCCCAGAGCCAGUGCCUGGCUGAUGGCACCUGGGACCCGCCCGUGCCCACCUGCCAGCCAGUCCUGUGUCCAGAACCACGAGUGCCCUUUGGAAGGCUGAAAAGCCCUUUGGGUGAGCAACGGUGGUACCAGACCAACGAGACUGUCACCUUGGAGUGCCUUCCUGGCUACCAGUUUCCAGAAGAUGGAAUGACAGAAAAUGCCUGGACAGCCACAUGCUUGCCUGAUGGCAGCUGGACACCACUGCCCAAGUGUGUGAGUACCACAAAAUUACAGAAUGGUUGGGUUGGGGGGAGCUUUAAAGAUCAUCCAGGUUCACUCUGCUA